UUUUAGUAGAGACAGGGUUUCACCAUGUUGGGAGAUUGAGACCAUCCUGGCUAACACAGUGAAACCCUGUCUCUACUAAAAAAAUACAAAAAAUUAGCUUGGCGUGGUGGUGGGCGCCUGUAGUCCCAGCAGCUUGGGAGGCUGAGGCUGGAGAAUGGUGUGAACCCAGGAGGCGGAGCUUGCAGUGAGCCAAGAUCGCGCCACUGCACUCCAGCCCGGGUGACAGAGCAAGACUCCGUCUCAAAAAAAAGAAAAGAAAAAAGAAAGCAUUGUUUUAAUUGAGAGGGGCAGGGCUGGAGAAGGAGCAAGUUGUGGGGAGCCAGGCUUCCCUCACGCAGCCUGUGGUGGAUGUGGGAAGGAGAUCAACUUCUCCUCACUCUGGGACAGACGAUGUAUGGAAACUAAAAAGAAC
rnacentral:lncRNA from 1 species